AGUAAAAUAGCUCAGUUGGGAGAGCGUUAGACUAUAGAUCGAAAGGUCCCUGGUUCGAUCCCGGUUUCGGCAA
rnacentral:tRNA from 1 species